GUACAACCCUAGUUCAUUUUAUUUUAGAUAGAGAGGGAAUCACCCUCAUUUGGGUCUUCUUAAACCAGAUUGUGCCUCACAAUUUGGGUAUUAGGGUUCUUCAUUUUUUUAUUGAUUUCAGCCCCAUUUCCCUCUCCUACCAGCCUUCCGCGCUUAUUUUUUUAUGUUCCUUUCUUGAUGAGCAUGUAAACCUUUGAUUAUAUUCUUUUUGGAGAUUAUUGAUUUUUAAUCUAGAUUUUGUGAUUUUCAAUUCUCUUUCUUCACCCUUUUUUAUAAAUUAUGUCAUACUUGUGGUUAUUUGUAUAUCGACAACAAGAGGAGAACUUUGAUGCAAUCAGGCUGUUUGGUGAAAUUUCCAAGUGAAAGAAAAAUAGUUACAGCAGAUUCAUGCUUGGAAAAGUUAUGCUCAUGUUAACAAUUGGAAUGACUAAGCUAUAAGUCAAGAUAUCAAGUUCCUGUAUUCAUAUUGAGGAAUGUGGGGUUACAAUAUAUGCUUCAAUGUCUUUGCAACCAACAAAGAACUCAGACCUCCAGUUUCACUUUUAUUACUUGAAAAUGCGACAGAACUAUCAGUGAGUACUUACGAAUCCAAUGUGUUUUUACCAAAGAAAUCUCAGCUCCAGUUUCACCUUUGUUACAUUACUUGAAGAUACAACAGAGCCAUCAGUGAGUACUUACAAGUUCAAGGAGCAGUACUCAAUGCUAUAUGGUGAAGCAAAGUAGCUAAAUACCUAAUUUGUGUGGCAAAUGGAUUCGUAGGAGUUGAUGAAAAUGCAACUCUAAGAACUUGAUGUCACUGAAUGUGAUACCAUUUUAUUUUGGUACUUUGUUGGGUUGGCUACUUUUGAGUUUUGGAUGAAUUGGUUGAGAUAGAUGCAGAGUUUGAUGUAAAAAUCACGUUUGAUGGGGUUUUUUUUGUCCUAGAGAAUCUUCAUCUUCCUUUCUUCCCUUUUUAAUGAUGUCAAUACUUCAUGAAUUUCCUUGCAUGAAUUAUCUAUUCUUGCUCAUCUAUUCUUCUCCUUUUAAGAUUGUAAAUGAUCUUGGA